rnacentral:rRNA from 1 species
CUCAUUAAGGCUGAGCUGUGAUGGGGAGAAGACAUUGUGUCUUCGAGUCGUUGAUUUCACACUGCCGAGAAAAGCCUCUAGAUAGAAAAUAGGUGCCCGUACCGCAAACCGACACAGGUAGUCAAGAUGAGAAUUCUAAGGUGAGCGAGCGAACUCUCGUUAAGGAACUCGGCAAAAUGACCCCGUAACUUCGGGAGAAGGGGUGCUCUUUAGGGUUAACGCCCAGAAGAGCCGCAGUGAAUAGGCCCAAGCGACUGUUUAUCAAAAACACAGGUCUCUGCUAAACCGUAAGGUGAUGUAUAGGGGCUGACGCCUG